UCAAUGCAAAGUUUCUCCAAUGAAUUUUGGGGUUUCUUUGAUAAAAUUUCUCUUCUUUUUCCUUUUUUUGAGGGAAUUGAAGGAAUCCACUGUGAUCUGUUUCGAGCUUUUUCAUUUGAAAAAGCUACAACCCGUUUUUUUCUUUGGAAACAAACGGGUGUGGGGCCUUUUUAGGACUCGCAAUUCAAUAUACUUUAUGAAAUUCUUGAUUGAUUCUUAAUUGAAACAAAAAAA
rnacentral:misc_RNA from 1 species